UACGGGGGGGGCAAGCGUUGUUCGGAAUUACUGGGCGUAAAGGGCUCGUAGGCGGCCAACUAAGUCAGACGUGAAAUCCCUCGGCUUAACCGGGGAACUGCGUCUGAUACUGGAUGGCUUGGAUUCGGGAGAGGAAUGCGGAAUUCCAGGUGUAGCGGUGAAAUGCGUAGAUAUCUGGAGGAACACCGGUGGCGAAGGCGGCGUUCUGGACCGACAUUGACGCUGAGGAGCGAAAGCCAGGGGAGCAAAGCGGGG
rnacentral:rRNA from 1 species